rnacentral:lncRNA from 1 species
UAGUUUGUGUCUUGCCAACUUGUAGUGUAUAGGUGGGGAGGUUUUUGAUCCUGCCUCUCCUCCUUUUCCUUUUUUCACACCUCUUUCCUUCACUGUUUUUACUCAGUCACACACCUAAUUUUCACCAGUGUAUCACACACUUUCCAAUUUUUUAUUUACUCCACACACACUGGAAAUUUUAUGACUACUUGUGACUUUACUAUUGAUGGUAGAUAUAGGAGAGAGUUUGUGCUUAUACGGGGAAUCGGUUUUAGAAUAUGCGUCCAAACAUAUUCCCCUUAGCCUUGGUGAGCUCAUUGACCGUGCUUCUUGAUGAGCUGUUACCAUUCCAUUUCCCUACAAUAACCAAACAGCAAAUCCAAGUUGGCCAUUCCCAAGCAUUUCCCUACAACUUUAUUCCACAUGGCCCAAGACUUUCAAUGCAGCAAACCAAUUCCAAAAUUCUCUUUCAAAUUCAAAUUCCCGUUCAAUAAUUAUUGCACCCAAAAACCAUUUUUCAUUUUUCUUUUACUCAAUAGCGCCUUUUCAUAUGGGCAGAAAACCCAACAGUUUUUGCUAAAAAUUAUCCCACAAUUUUUAUACUUAGUUACUAGUUUACCCGUGAAUCGGUGAAAAGAGAAAAAAAUGGGAAAUCAUGGGCAAAAUCGGAAGUCAAAUUGGAUAUGGUUACUUUAACUAAGAAAUAGUAAAAUUUUCUUUUGUUUUUUUGGCAAGAAAGUGAACGCUAUACAAGCAUGAUAUGAGUUAUAUAAGAAACUUGACUUUGUAGCACUUUCUACUAUUUUCAGCUUGUUCUUCCUUUUCUUGUUAUAAUUUGUUAAAAUUAAAUGACAUUUUCAAGGUUAUGUUUAUGGCUUUUAUGUAACGAAAUGAAAUGCAAAAACCAUCGCCCAUUAAAAAAGGCUAAUGAUUUUUACACUUCCAUUAUACAUCCUGAAUGUUGUUUUCCUGCAGACUUGUGAUAUUAAUAUACUAGCUUUAUCAGCAAGAAGUUGUGGGCCAAAACUCACAUUAUUGUGCUGUUCAGCUACAACACUCGAAUAUAUAAUCGAUUUAUGGGUGUGAAUGCGAUUCCUCUCUCGCUAAUUACCCCUCUCUCUCUCUCUCUCUCUCUCUCUCACACACACAGACAUCUGAUUUCAUUCUUCAUGAAUUCUGCACACACUUUGUUGUUUCCUUCCUGUUUAACGUAGAGGAGUUGGAGAAGAUAGAAGGAGAGCUCAAAGGGAAAGCCAAGUAUUUUGGAGGGGAGGGAAAUAUUGGGUAUAAUGGAGGUUAUGAAAUAGACUUUGUGGUAUCACAAAAAAACAAAUGAGCAAGUCAACAAGAGAGCUCGGAUCGAAUCAAUCUAUCGUAUCAAUACCGAUUUUAUAAUUCUUUUCAGGAAGAAGCGGUAAUUCGGAAUGAUAAGAUCCAAGAAAUUAGCAUAAAAUUUAAUGAUUCGUGGGUAUUUGAUGAGUGCAACGAGGCAUCAGAGAAUAGUCCCUUAUAGAGAAAUUGGAAUAAGUUUGGCAGCCGAUCACGAAUUUUUGGUGAUCUUCUAUAUCUAAUAAAUAAUUAGAGUAAAAAUUAGGAUAAAAAGUAAAGUGAAAGAUAAAAAUGAGGAAGAAUAAAUUAUUUUCUUGUAUGUAUUUGAUUGAAAUUAUUUUUUGGCAACCACGUGUAAAAACUUCUAUAUGUAGUUACUAAAAUUUACCCAUAAAUUUAUGAAAAGAAAGAGGAAACGUGGGAAAUCGUAGCAAAAUCGGAAGUCGAAUUUGAGUUGGUUACUUUCACUGAAAAUAUAACUUUGAAAUGAGUUAGGUAAGAUUACACUAUUUUCAUGCUAAACAAAUUUUUAAAAAUAUUAUAUCUUUUUUCUCUUUCAUGCAUUUUUUGUUGGAAAAAGUUUGUUGGGGUUUUUAAAAAAAUAUUAUAUCUUUUUUCACUUUCAUGCAUUUUUUUGUUGGAAAAAGUUUAUUGGGUUUUCUUAAAACAAACAUAAAGUUUCAACAUAAAUAUAAAAAGUUAAAUGACAACAGAUAAUUAAAAAGAUAGAUUAUAAUAACAUUUUUAUAAACUUACAAGAAUGUAAAAUAAACCGUAAAAUGUAAUGGCUAUGCUUGAAUUAGAUUCAGUGUCUCUAAGUCGUUUUAUGCCCCACACUUGGUACUCUCAGAAUACUACGAACGACUCUCAUAAUACAACAAUUUUGAUCUUUUGAUAAUAAUACUCCAGAUCAAAAGAUUACGGCAAACCUGUAUACUAAAAUGUUGGAUGGUAAGCAAUUUCAACACUUCAUUCUAUUUUUCAAUUGUCUAUCAAAUCAAUCAAUCAAGAAUGAUGUUUUUCUGAAUGGUCACAGCUUUUCGAAGAGGUAUUAUGUCUUUAUGGUCACACCUCUUACAUAAGGUACUCAUUUUUUUUUCUGUACACACACUGUUUCACUAUGCGGAUCAGUAAUGCAAGAAUGAGAAAUCUACUCAUAAUUCUGGAGAAGGAUAUUGGUGCAUCUAGAAAACAACUAGCAAUACUAUCAUUAAUUCACAAAUUGAGAAAAAAUUUAGGAUGGGUUAUGAUUUUCGCACUCUCUUUAUUAUCAAAUGCAGUUUAUUUAUUUAUUGUUGUUUUAUUACGUAGUUUUUAAAUAAAUGUAUAAACUCACCUUCUCUAGAGAAGAAACAAAGUAAAAAUACAAGAGAAUAAAGGGAGGCAAUUUUGUUAAUUACAUAGAAGAAAAGAAAACAGUGAAAGGAUUGCGUGAGCCGUGACCUAAACUAUCCAAACGAGUCAAAAUUGCCGUCUAAGACAAGUCUUAAACCCUUUUACUAGCAACUAAGCACCACACAUAAGCCUUGCCCCCAUGGCGUAGCUCAAUUGGUUCACAGGUGGUAAAUUGCCACCAAAAGCGCAGGUUCGAGUCAUGGCAGCCGCAGCGUGAGAGUUACACUCAAAAUUGGGUUGGCUCCUUGUGAGCACUAUACACUGAGCCUCCACCUAUUGGGCCGCUGAGUACCUGAUUUACCUGCCAUGCUAUCCCCUUGGUGCUGGGCUGCAUGGCCCGGCUAAGGUGUCCAGCCAUACACCUUUUGCCACCAAAAGCACCACACAUAAGCCUCUCUCUCUCUCUCUAAAAUGAUAAAGCUUGUGGGAUUCUGGUUGAGCCCAUUUGUUUUGAGAGUGAGUUGGGCUCUGAAACUGAAGGGUGUUGAGUAUGAGUACAUUGAAGAAGACAUCUUCAACAAGAGUCCUCUGCUUCUGGAGCUGAACCCAGUCCACAAGAAAGUACCUGUGCUGGUUCAUGGCCAUAAUGUGAUAGUUGAGUCCCUUGUGAUACUAGAGUACAUUGAUGAGACUUGGAAACAGUACCCCUUGUUGCCUCAAGAGCCUUGUGACAGAGCCAAUGCAAGGUUUUGGGCCAAGUUCGCUGAGGAAAAGGUGAUUAUUUCCUUGCUUUAAUUUUUGCUAACAUCGAUCUGCUUUUUCAAUUUUCUCUUUUUUGCUACAUUAUGUAGGUAGAUUUACUCAUUGAAAUUGGUUACUCAUAUACAGAGAUUAAUUACUAUAGUUUCAAUCACCCAAUUAUCAAGUAAAAUUUACCUCCUAGAGACAAGAUGGUUGUUUAUUUCCACAAGCGCAGCAAAGAAAUUGCUACCGUCAUAGACUCUGCUAGAAAGGGUUGCUUGUAGAAAUUUUAAAAUCGAUUUGUUGUUUUUCAUGCUAAGCAUGAUGAUAAGGAUUGUACAAGAAACUGACUUUCCUGCACUCUUCAUUAUUUUCAUGCUAAGCAAACUGAAAAAAAAAAAUAUAGAUAUCUUUUUUCUCUCUUUCAUAAAUUUUCCGUGGCUGUCAUCCUAAUCAAACUCAACCUAUAUAUGUUUUUGUAACCUAGAAAGUUUUAUUUUCGUAGUCUGUCUGUUCUUACUUCAACUAUUAUUUGUUUGUGCAUGCAUGUUUGGGAUUAGCUUUUGAAGAAUUCAUGGACGGCUAUGUGCUCCCAAGGAGAAGAAAAGAAACUUUGUCUCCAAUCGGCCUUAGAGGACUUGGAGAAGAUAGAAGGAGAGCUCAAAGGGAAGGGCAAGUAUUUCGGAGGAGAAAAUCUUGGGUAUUUGGAUCUUGCACUUGGAUGGAUCACUUAUUUGGUGCCUGUUUGGGAAGAUAUUGGGUCCAUUACCAUUCUAGAUCCAGUCAAAUUCCCAUGUACCACUGCUUGGAUGAAAAAUUUUCUCAAUCACCCAGUUAUCAAGGAAGAUUUACCACCCAGAGAUGAGACGGAUUUUUAUUUCCGGACCCGAAGAGAAGAAAUUAUUGCCCUCGUGGGCUCUCCCAGCAAAGGUUGAUUGUAGAAAUUUUAAAAUUGGGUUGUUGUUUUACCCAUGCUAGGACAACUCAAAUAUGGAGACCGGCCUUCGGUGCAUAUGUAACAUCAUCAUUGCAAAUAACCUAGCUGGUUUGGAACAAUCGGGCUUUCGAUUUUAGGUGUUAUAUUGUAUUACUACCUGAAAUUUGACUCCUAUGGUUUUACAUUCGGCAUACACAAAGCAGAAAGGAGAGGUACUGGGAAAUGAAGUUGUUCAUGUGCUAUUUCAUGCAUCUUGUAGCUGCAAUUUUGGCUAUAAAGUAAGGUAUUGGAUCCAUAUUUUUGUAUUUAGUCCUUGGUAGGACAAGGAAACGUAGUUUCUAUGAGAUGAGUGUAGGCCCUGCAAAAGUCUUGGGUUAGAGGUGGCUUAACAGCUGUAGUUCGUUGUUUUCUGCCGCAAUAAUUGAGAGAGAGAGAGAGAGAGGGUUGUGGAUUACUACUAAUGAGAUGGAUGUUUGCUUGGUGAUGUCAAGUUUGGAAAAGGUCGGCCUUGCAAGUUGUAUUGCAAAACUACAAGAGACCUAUGUCAUACAAAGCCAAAGUGGGAGUCAGAGCAUCAAUUGUUAAAAUAGUAUGAAAGUGAGAACAUUUUCAGAGCGUCAAAAUAAAUAAUAUAUUAAAUUUAUAUAUGUAUAUUUAUUAAUAAAUAAAUUAUAAAUAUUGAAUAUUGUUAGCCAUUUUAAUAUAUUACGUAUUGGCAAAAAAUAAAGAGAUUACUUGAUAUAAUUAUUAUAUAUAUAUUAUAUAUAUAUUAUAUAAGAAUAAGAUAAUACAAUAAUUACUUGAAAAUGAAUAAAUGACGUUGGGUGGAUUGGAGCUCCUUACACAAGUAUUAGGUUCAAUCCUCGUGAACUUGCAAAGUAAAUGUUUUUUACUUUGCAAUUUGUCUUCUUUUGUGUAAAUUAAAAAUUCGUCCCUAUAUUAUCAGAAUUAGUAAAUUAUUCUCAGUAAAUUCGCAAAUUUACCUAGAAUUUGCGAUAAAUUAACAAAUCUACGAGUUAGUUCGUGGAGCGGCCAGGGUGAGUCACGGAUUGUGUGACUAUGCAAGAGACUUUACAGAAUCCAUGUAAGUUUCAUUAAAUUUGAGCUAUAUUAUAAUAAACACAAUAUCUUCUAUUUUAAC